AGGAUUGUGGCUCAGUGAUAGAGUGCUUGCUUAGCAUGCAUGAAGUACAAGGUUCAAUUCCUCAGUACCA
rnacentral:tRNA from 1 species